rnacentral:rRNA from 1 species
GCGGUCGGAGCUCGCAAGAGUGACGGCGUGCCUUUUGCAUAAUGAGCCGGCGAGUUAGUCUGUACGGCGAGCCUAAGGCCUAGCGGGCCGGAGGCGGAGCGAAAGCGAGUCUGAAUAGGGCGUUGAGUCGUACGGGCUAGACGCGAAACCUUGUGAUCAACCCUCGAGCAGGCUGAAGUGCGGGUAAAACCGCAUGGAGGGCCGAACGGGUGACCGUUGAAAAGGUCUCCGAUGACUUGAGGGGAGGAUUAAAAGUAUAAUCAAACUGGGAGAUAGCUCGUUCUCUCCGAAAUAACUUUAGGGUUAGCCUCGGGUGGCAAGCGAUGGGGGUAGAGCUACUGGAUGAGGCGUCGGGCCUAACCGGCUACGACCCUCAACCAAACUCCGAAUACCAUUGCCCAAGACCCGGGAGAUAGACGGUGAGUGACAAUAUCCAUCGUCAAAAGGAGAACAAUCCAGACCACCAGCUAAGGUCCCGAAUCUACGCUUAGUUCGAAAGGAAGUCAGAUUGCAGUGACAGCCGGGAUGUUGGCUUAGAAGCAGCCACCAUUUAAAGAGUGCGUAACAGCUCACCGGUCGAGGAGUCUGGCGCCGAUAAUGAUCGGGAAUAAGCGUGGAGCCGAAGCUGUGGGCCCAGCAGCAAUGCUGGGCGGUAGGAGAGCGUAGUUGAUGCUGUGAAGCGGCUCGGGAACGGGUCGUGGAGCGUCCACUAGUGCAUAUGCCGGCUUAAGUAACGAUUAACACGGUGAAAAUCCGUGUCGCCGAAUGCCUAAGGUUUCCUGGGGAAGGUAAAUCCGCCCAGGGUUAGCCGGGUCCUAAGGUGAGGCCGAAAGGCGUAGCCGAUGGAAAUCAGGUCAAUAUUCCUGAGCCAAUGCCCAAUAUGGUGACGGAUCUCCAAGAUCUGCGGGACUGCUAGAUGUCCAGGCCCUCGAGGCCGAUGCAGGUGGAGGAGGUCACGAGAAAAACCGGGCGUGCCCGUACUAAAACUGACACAGGUAGGCGAGGCGAAUAGCCUCAGGCGCUCGAGAGAACGGUCGUGAAGGAACUAGGCAAUUUAACCCCGUACGUUCGCAAGAAGGGGGCCCUCGUCGUCAGACAGGGCGCAGAGAAAAGGGUCUGGGAACUGUUUAUCAAAAACACAGCUCUGUGCUAACUCGGAAGAGGAUGUAUACAGAGUGACGCUUGCUCAAUGCCGGAAUGUCACGGAAGCGGGUCAUCGCAAGAGAAGCCCGCGACUCAAGCACCGGUGAAUAGCGGCCGUAACUAUGACGGUCCUAAGGUAGCGAAGUUCCUUGUCGGGUAAGUUCCGACGCGCAUGAAUAGCGUAAUCACUGGAUCACUGUCUCCACGACCGACUCGGUGAAAUAGUAGUGGCGGUGAAGAUGCCGCCUACCCGCAGCAAGACGGAAAGACCCCGUGGACCUUUACUGCAGGCUCCUAUUGGCCACGAGCAUACGCUGCGUAGCAUAGGUGGGAGGCUUUGAGGCCCUUGUUCCGGCUUGGGCUGAGCCAUAAUGUGAAAUACCACCCUGUGUACGUUUGUGGCCUAACCUCGAUUCCCGUAAUCCGGGCGAGAGACCGUGGGUGUCGGGCAGUUUGACUGGGGCGGUCUCCUCCAAAAAGGUAACGGAGGAGUGCAAAGGUCGGCUCAGCACGGAUGGAAACCGUGUCGAGAGUGCAAGA